UUCUCCAUCCUCUCACCGCUCACAUCUCACAACCAAGACUUCUGCAAAUCUCACACCCUCACCUCACAGCCGGCCUCGACUAACUCGAUCACCUCACCGCAUCUCCGGCGAGGACACGGCCUCGACCACCGUCUCAUCAUCGAUUCACCGCCCCACGCCCUCAUCCGCUGUCUCCACCGCCACAGUGUCGCCGCCGCUGCUUCGAUCCACCGCUCCAGCCGCUGCUUCGUCCAUCAUAAAGGUAUAGCUUGGGCAGGAAGGUGUUUUGGUGUGUACCCAAAAUUCUACUGAAAUCUUUGGUGUGAGGUAAAAAAAUAUGUACUGUGGUCUGUGGUUGAUCUGAGCACUGCUUACACGUGAAGUCCUUCUGGGAAAUUUAUGUGAACUCCAGGUUCUCUCUUUCUUCAGCAUGAAUUCUUUCCAAUGAUAGAGCUGGGGGUAGUCCGAGUGGGAAUUGACAUAAAGGAUUGAGGCCAAGUGAUGUGUGUCUGUCUUUGAUGGAGGAGGCCUCAGGGAGUGGGUGAAAGCAACUUCCAAGAAUCACUUAGCACAUGUAGAUGUAUCUUGCUGAACAGGUAUUUGAAAGCAAUCCGUACUCUAUCGAUGAAAUUGAUGAGAUUCGAAACUAUUGGGCAAAGUACUUCUUGGAAGAGUGCAUGUAAUUAACUUGUUUUUUUGCUAGUUGGUUAAUUAAAAGUUUUUAGGUAAUGCAUGUGUUAACUAUAUAUUAGGAUGGAUUGUGAGAGUAUUGUAUGUGUUGAAAGUAUUUGGAUGGAUUAUGAUAGUGUUGAAAUUGUAUUAUUGAUAAUAUUGUGUUAGGUUGAUCGAUGGGAGUAUUGUUUUUAUAA